CUAUCGGAGAGUUUGAUCCUGGCUCAGGAUAAACGCUGGCGGCGUGCAUGAGACAUGUAAGUCGUACGAGUCUCCGGGCUUGCUCGGAGACUAGUGGCGGACGGCUGAGUAACGCGUAGGU
rnacentral:rRNA from 1 species